CAGAGUGUAGCUAAAAUAGGAAAGCACCUCCCUUACACCGAGAAGACAUCCGUGCAAAUCGGGUCACCCUGA
ensembl:Mt_tRNA